CCCGCAAAGUUUUCUUUUUCCUUUUUUGUUUGUUUGUGAUGUAAAUCAACCAUAUUGUAAACACAUAGAGCAAUAUAUAUUGUUGUUUAGAUUGAACCCAAUUGGCACUUAUAAAAUAAAGAGAACUAAUUACCCAUUGCCGGCGGCCGUGAGUUAAUUGGUUACGAUCGGUUCAUCGACGCAUGAAAUGACGAAACAAAUGGUUUCCUGGCUUUCCCCUUGUGCAUGGUGUGCCAUGUAUAUGUAAAUGAAGGGUGUGUUAAUGGUAAAAUCAAAGUGAUAGCCCUGUUCCUUUGCAAACAAUACUAGCGAAUGGGCAUGAAUGUUCCACAUUUGAGGGAUAAAGUCUCAAUUCAGACCGACGGGACAUAAUUUAGUCGGUCCAUGGGGUAGAUGUUUGCCUUUUCAUGCUGACAUGUCGUAAUACAACACUAUGAUAUAGUAAAGUGACAUGAAAACCCAAGUUUUGGUGGAAAGCUAGUAACAAAACACUAAGAAACAUUCAAACCCAAGCCCUAGAGUGAGGAAAACACGUAAUUCGGACCGAGGGAGAAGAAUUCUGUGAGGGCUUGGGGUAGAUUUGUUGUUUUACAUGUGCCCAUGUGGCAAUAGAACACUGAGUAAACAUCAGGAAAACCAAUGUUUUGGUGAAAAACUACCCCGUAGACGCCACGAGGCCCGCAUGAGGGGGCGAUGCCUCAAAUCACACGACGGAUGGUCUAGAGAACUUGAAAUCUUGGAUGAUGUCAUCAAAUGGGUACAUAGAGAUGGUGUUAAGAGGAAAACAGAAUCCAAGGAUCUGAGGUUGCACUUCCUUCACAAACUAGACUAACCCGCACGAACGUUCUGGAAUUAGAGGGGGAAAAGUCACAAUUCGGACGGACGGAGCCGAAUCCGUUGAGGACUUGGGUAGAUGUUUGCUUUUUCAUGUUGACAUGUCUUAAUACAACACUAUGAUAUAGUAAAGUGACAUGGAAACCCAAUGUUUUGGUGAAAAACUACCUCGUAGACGCCACGAGGCUCGCAGGAGGGGGCGAUGCCUCAAAUCACACGACGAAUGGUCUAGAGAACUUGAAAUCUUGGAUGAUGUCAUAAAAUGGGUACAUAAAUAUGGUGUUAAGAGAAAAACACAAUCCAAGUAUCUGAGGUUGCACAUCCUUCACAAACUAGACUAACCCGGAUGAACGUUCCGGGCUUAGGGUGGAAAAGUCGCAAUUCGGACGGACGGAGCAGAAUCCUUUGAGGACUUGGGUAGAUGUUUGCUUUUUCAUGUUGGCAUGUACUAAUACAACACUAUGAUAGAGUAAAGUGGCAUGAAAACCCAAGUUUUGGUGAAAAGCUAGCCCGCGGACGCCACGAGGCCCACAGGAGAGGGUGACGUCUGAUUUAGAAUCAACGGAGCUGAAAUUAGCGAGGACUUGAGUUAAAUUUUUGGUUUUCUUUGCACACAUUUUCUAGUAAAACAGUAAGACAAAUUAAAGUGGCAAGAAAUCCCAAGUUUGUGAAAUAACUAAGGAAAAAAAAAGAAAAAAUGGUCUUUGCCGGUGGCUUUAGUAAGGGCCGCCGGCAAAGACACCUAUGCCGACGGCUUUUUAUCGGGCCGCCGGCAAAGAUUUAUGCAAAAAAAAAUCUCCCCUAACCCUAUCUCUCUUUCUCUCUCUCACUCCCUCUCCUUCUCUCGUGCCUAACCCUCCCGACCGCCGCGUCGAUCCGCCGCCGCCUCCUCCCUACCCCGCCGCCCCCUUCUCCCGGCCCCGCAUCCCUCCC
rnacentral:lncRNA from 1 species